rnacentral:rRNA from 1 species
AUUGAACGCUGGCGGCAUGCCUUACACAUGCAAGUCGAACGGCAGCACGGGAGCUUGCUCCUGGUGGCGAGUGGCGAACGGGUGAGUAAUACAUCGGAACGUACCCUGAAGUGGGGGAUAACGUAGCGAAAGUUACGCUAAUACCGCAUAUUCUGUGAGCAGGAAAGAGGGGGAUCGCAAGACCUCUUGCUUUAGGAGCGGCCGAUGUCGGAUUAGCUAGUUGGUGAGGUAAAGGCUCACCAAGGCGACGAUCCGUAGCGGGUCUGAGAGGAUGAUCCGCCACACUGGGACUGAGACACGGCCCAGACUCCUACGGGAGGCAGCAGUGGGGAAUUUUGGACAAUGGGCGCAAGCCUGAUCCAGCCAUGCCGCGUGAGUGAAGAAGGCCUCCGGGUUGUAAAGCUCUUUCGGCGGGGAAGAAAUUGCUUCGGUUAAUACCUGGAGUAGAUGACGGUACCGCAUAAGAAGCACCGGCUAACUACGUGCCAGCAGCCGCGGUAA